UACGUAGGGUGCAAGCGUUGUCCGGAAUUAUUGGGCGUAAGGAGCUCGUAGGCGGUUUGUCGCGUCUGCCGUGAAAGUCCGGGGCUCAACUCCGGAUCUGCGGUGGGUACGGGCAGACUAGAGUGAUGUAGGGGAGACUGGAAUUCCUGGUGUAGCGGUGAAAUGCGCAGAUAUCAGGAGGAACACCGGUGGCGAAGGCGGGUCUCUGGGCCGAUACUGACGCUGAGGAGCGAAAGCGUGGGGAGCGAACAGG
rnacentral:rRNA from 1 species